AAUUAGUUUGAGAUUUCAUAGUUAAAACAUUAUAGUUUUUGGAGUAGAAUUAAUAUAAAAGAUAGAUUGUGUGAGAAUUUUAGCUCCUAAAUAGGUUUAUGAGUGCAUUUAUGUAUGUAUUGAAUUCCUUAUAUGUGAGUUAUGCAUAGAAUAAACCAAUGCAAACCCAUGGGAAAUGGAUGCAUUAUUCAACAGAGGCAAAAGACUAAUCGAACCAUCUGGUAACUGGUUCCUCCCAGGUUUUCUUCGGAAUAGCUGCUGCUUUUGCAGUCAUAUAGUUUCAUUCAAUAAAGUAAAUGAUCAGAGGUCUUGGGGAGGAAACAGUCUCAGCCUUUCCUCAGGCUUUAAAUGGAUGAGAAGCCCAGCUUGCUAAUGUGGAGUAUGGUGUGGAAUGAGAGUGUGUAGUGUUCCACUUUGGCCAGCCCAAGGGAGGCUGCAAGAUGAACAGAAUGUCAGUGGGGUGCCUGAUGCAGAUAAUUUUUAGAUCCCAGGAAAGACUUUAGUUGCCACAGACAGCACAGUAGUGGCCAUUAGAAUAAGAAUCUGCUAACCUGUGUGUGCACCUAACCCUGAAAGUGGAUGGCACUGGACUGUCAAACUCAUACCUGACACUCUAGGGCAGAGGUGGUGAACCUAUGGCACACAUGCUGCAGCCAGCUGUU
rnacentral:ncRNA from 1 species